rnacentral:rRNA from 1 species
ACAGAGGGUGCGAGCGUUGUCCGGAAUCACUGGGCGUAAAGGGCGCGUAGGCGGGCCGUUAAGUCGAUUGUGAAAGCCCUGGGCUUAACCUGGGAAUUGCAGUCGAAACUGGCGGUCUUGAGUGCCUGAGAGGAUGGCGGAAUUCCCGGUGUAGUAGUGAAAUACGUAGAUAUCGGGAAGAACACCUGAGGCGAAGGCGGCUAUCUGGCGGUGCACUGACGCUGAGGCGCGAAAGCGUGGGGAGCAAACAGGA